rnacentral:rRNA from 1 species
AACGAACGCUGGCGGCAUGCCUAACACAUGCAAGUCGAACGAUCCCUUCGGGGAUAGUGGCGCACGGGUGCGUAACGCGUGGGAACCUGCCCUUAGGUUCGGAAUAACUCAGAGAAAUUUGAGCUAAUACCGGAUAAUGUCUUCGGACCAAAGAUUUAUCGCCUUUGGAUGGGCCCGCGUUGGAUUAGCUAGUUGGUGGGGUAAAGGCCUACCAAGGCGACGAUCCAUAGCUGGUCUGAGAGGAUGAUCAGCCACACUGGGACUGAGACACGGCCCAGACUCCUACGGGAGGUAGCAGUGGGGAAUAUUGGACAAUGGGCGAAAGCCUGAUCCAGCAAUGCCGCGUGAGUGAUGAAGGCCUUAGGGUUGUAAAGCUCUUUUACCCGGGAUGAUAAUGACAGUACCGGGAGAAUAAGCCCCGGCUAACUCCGUG